rnacentral:lncRNA from 1 species
CUGUAGUAGGGUCCACAUAGAUACUAGUCAUGCUGGUGUAGUCUAUAGCUGAGCUGGUUAAACUGUAGUAGGGUCCACAUAGAUACUAGUCAUGCUGGUGUAGUCUAUAGCUGAGCUGGUUAAACUGUAGUGGGGUCCACAUAGAUACUAGUCAUGCUGAUACUAGUCAUGCUGGUGUAGUCUAUAGCUGAGCUGGUUAAACUGUAGUAGGGUCCACAUAGAUACUAGUCAUGCUGGUGUAGUCUAUAGCUGAGCUGGUUAAACUGUAGUAGGGUCCACAUAGAUACUAGUCAUGCUGGUGUAGUCUAUAGCUGAGCUGGUUAAACUGUAGUAGGGUC